AAGUCGUAACAAGGUUUCCGUAGGUGAACCUGCGGAAGGAUCAUUAACAACAUAUCCUAACUAAAAAACCCUGUGAACUUUCAACCCCAAGCUCUUGAUCCGAGGAGUUCAGCAAUCUCUGGUAAAUCAUAGUGAACAGCUUUUGAUUCAGAGACCUCUGGAUAUUCCUAGCGCGGUCGAGUGAGGUAAGGCAAGUGACCUGGUACCCUCAAGACCAGUGUUCAGUGAUCUGUCAGUGUUCAUUGACUGGAAUCAAACGUUCUGUCAGUGUGCACACGGCCGGCGACCGGGUCAGCGAGCUCUGCUCCCACUGUUACGACAAACCUCUGUUCCCCUCUAGUGAAAGCUAUUGGGUUAUAACUAAACGACUGUUAACAAUGGAUAUCUCGAUUCUC
rnacentral:misc_RNA from 1 species